rnacentral:lncRNA from 1 species
GGCCUGGGGAAAGCAGACAGUGCAUGCUGGCCGAGGAAGGGCAGCGCAGAACUUCUCGGGCAUUCGGAUCAUCUGAAGUGGACAGGUUAUUUGUCAAACCUUAUCCCGCUGGGCUGCGUACAUUCAGAGAACGUAUCUCCAUCUCGAUAGCAAGAGACAAAGGCAUCAUCCAUGGUUUCUGUGGCUUGGAACCAGCCUCCUGAGAAGGGGCAUCGGGCAAGCAGAUAACCCCACUGAAUGUCCCUCAUGUAAGCAAUGUAGCCUUAUCCACUUCUACCAUAGCAAGCAACAGAACCGGAC